AAAAAAAAAAGUUCUCAGAUUUCCAAAAAAAAAAAGCUUCGAAGGAGGAAAAUGGCGGAUCAGCUGACCGAUGACCAGAUCUCAGAGUUCAAGGAAGCUUUCAGCCUCUUCGACAAGGAUGGCGAUGGUAUAUCUUCCUCUCUCAGAUCUAGAUGGUGUUUGUUGUUUUGCUUCCUCGUGUUUCAAUCUAGAUCUUAAGUUCUGUGACGAUCUCUUGUUGGAUCGUACCGAUGUAUCUGUAUUUUGCGAUUGACUUGUUGAUUUGAGAUGAAAAGGAGAUCCGAUUUGAUGUUUCCAACGUUCGUUGAUUGAUACAUUUUUUUUAGGGAGAGUUAAAAAAGAUUGUUUGUUUCUUUGUGGUUUUUGCAGGUUGCAUCACCACCAAGGAGCUCGGAACCGUGAUGAGGUCUCUGGGGCAAAACCCGACAGAAGCCGAGCUGCAAGACAUGAUCAACGAAGUUGACGCUGACGGGAACGGGACCAUUGACUUCCCUGAGUUCCUGAACCUGAUGGCGAGGAAGAUGAAGGACACUGACUCGGAGGAAGAGCUCAAGGAAGCGUUCAGGGUGUUUGAUAAGGACCAGAACGGUUUCAUCUCCGCGGCUGAGCUUCGACAUGUGAUGACUAACCUUGGGGAGAAGCUGACCGAUGAGGAAGUUGAUGAGAUGAUCCGUGAGGCUGAUGUUGAUGGCGAUGGGCAGAUCAACUACGAUGAGUUCGUUAAAGUCAUGAUGGCUAAGUGAUCUCAUCCUAUUCAUAAAAAGAGAACGAUUUAUGAUGAUGUCUUGACAGUGAAUGGUUGCGACAUGUUUCGUCUGUUAUUUGUCUUUUGUCUUUGCUUUUGGUUAGUGUUAUGUGAAGUAUGAACUCAUGGUUUGCAUAUCCUUUGACAAUUUGAUAUUCUCUCGUUUUUUUUAUUAUUGUUUGUUUUCGUCUCUGUUAUUUCUCUUCAGUGAAUGCGUUUUCUUGCCCUUGAGUUUGGCUCCAUCUCUAAAGCAGAACAUGUCUAGAUGAAUUUGCACAACACUAAUAAAGUGUCUGGUUGCUAGCAUAUAAUAAGCUUGUUAUUAGCAAUGAAGUGUAAUUACAGUUACAAAAACGUAAAAAAAUAGGGUUUUGUUUGUUACAUUGAGAAGCUUUAUACAUAUAGCAAAGUUGUGCACUCACUCACUAAUCACUAUGAACAAAGGACAAGUUCUCACAGAGUUUAGAAAUGAAGGAAAAAAAAAACACAAUGUGGCAUUGGAUUUGGAUUUUAAGUUUAACGUGUGAGCGGUUUGUAGAGGACAACAGUUAUGUACUUAGACUCGAACCUGUGAGUUAAACCCAAAGCUACAAUGGAUUGAGGGCUCCAUCCUUGCUCUAUAAACACAUGGUUAAGCACCACAUGCUGAGGCUUUGUGGCUUUGCCUGUUUCUUCACUAGUGUCCACAAGUGUUAGACGAAGCUGAGGUGGCACCGCGAGUGGAUCCUUUGUGUAAUCCUCUGCUGUUGGGAGAGUUUGUCCGUAGCUAUGAUCAGGUGACGGUGGCGCCUCAAACUCAGCUAUGCUUUCAGGGUUUUCUGGCACAAAGUUCUGCAUAAUUGAUUGGAGGAGAUACUAUUUUAUUACAAACUGCAGAUUGACUAAUAGGAGCAUGGGGGAAAAGUUACUUACAUGAACAUCGAGAAUGUUACAGACAUUGCCCAUUUCGUCUGAUACAAAGGGUAACUCCGGGAUGUGUUUGCUUUCACCAUCGACGAUCACCUUGUAAUGGUAUAUGCCAGAUGGAAGGACAAAGAGAAUUGAGUGGUCUUUUCCAGAUUUCUCCAGCUUCUUCCUGAGGAAUGUAAAGUAUCUAUACGUUUAGUAAAUGUAUAUGGCUUGGGAGGAAGCUAUUAAGAAACAAAUUAACGUAUACCUUGAUCUCCAGUUGUCCCAUGAUCCUUCCACGGCCACUUCAUUACCUCCCUGGUUCCAUGUAAUGAUAAUAGGGAUUCCUUGCUCUUCGGGAUGAUCAGAAACUCUUUGAGAUUGGUUCCACUGGAUUUUAUUAGGCGAAGGAGGGGCGUUUAUUGUCCUCUGCAAUGGAGCCACUGGAACCUGAUCAUAAAAGUUUAGCCGUGAGAAUUUUCAAAGCAAAUGCGAGAAGAAUUUGCUAUACGAAAUUCAAAUGUUAUGCCUAAACAAUGAAAAAGGUGACGCUUAAUUGAGCCAAUAGUGUAAGAAGAUUAAAUUUUCAAAAGGUUUCUCUCGUCAUUGCCGUUAUCUAUUUAUUCUCACACAUAAAGAACAACGAGAAGAAUGAAGAAUUAACCACAAUGUCUAAUUCGUUCAAGUAAAUUCAAGCUCUGCGUGUUUAAAUUCAAAAACGGCUCAGAAAUUAACAAGCUUGCCUACCCCCUUCAAAAGGAACAUUACAGAACAGACCAGCAUCUGGUAAUGACCAGAGAGAAGCAAGGAAAUCAAAGUCAACAUAAAACUUUUUCCACACUAGGCAUUGCAUAAACAAGACAAGACAAUAAGAACCUUCUCCAAAUAAGAUUCUGCAUCGUGACCAAAGAAAAGGCAUAGCAAAUAAGAUAAACUAAGCAUCUCCCUCAUCUAGAAAGAAGGAAAAAAAAAAACUUACUAAACUUUUCAUUUACCAGAGAUUUUGACAAAAGAAAAAAAAAAGAUUUCACUAAAAAAUAUGCCAAGUCUCAAUGGAACCUAGACCUCUUCACAAUGGAACCAGAGAUACAUUACACAAAGACUCAACCAUCAUGAGAGGAGUUGAAGUCCCCUUUCUCCUAUCCAACGAGAGAAUAAGAAUGUGGAAAAUCUAGUUCGCAUUCAACCAAAGGUUCAACGAUGUUUUAUCAUCCAAAAUCUAACAUUAAAUACAUUGAUAAACACGUGAGGAGUGCAGAGAGGGACGAGAAACCUGAGGAGCGAAUAAGAAAGGAGAAGGAGAUCGAGCUGGGCUGCCGGGAGGAGAACUGCUCAUAGAGUCUGAGGAAGGACGGCCAGGUCCAUGACGAGUGCGGGAGGAAGGAUCACCGCCGUUGGCAUCUGCGUCUACGUUAGAGACGGCGUCGUCUUCUUUGCCGUUCGCAUUUCCCAUCUUCAAACCCAAAUCAUAGAAGCAAGAGAAACAAAGAGGAGAGAGAGAGAGAGAGAGAGAGAGAGAGAAAGAGAAGCAGACGUGAAGAAAAGUGGAGGGAGGACGAAGAGUGGGAGAUAGGUAAAUGGACCCCAGUGAUCACCUUUAAUUACGUGAAUUGCCAUUGGUGACAUUCAAAUGGAUAAACGAGUGACUUGGCAUCUAGAAAGUAGAUAAUGAUCAUCCUCUUUUUUUAUUUUUUUAUAAUCUUGUAUUAUCGCAAUCAAUCAUCAGAAGUCCAUAAUAGUGGUAAAUACGAGUUUAUAUCCAUGUAAAUUUUGAAAGUAAUGAUACUUAUAAAUAGAAACUUUUGGUAGAAUAUAGUUAAAAUGAGCAUUAUAAAUGUGGUUAGUAUGCAUUUUGUUUUCACUGUUGACCAACAGGCAACAGUUGUGAUGUUUGAAACGUGCGUUCAACUAUAUGUGGCACAUAUUUAGAAUGGGCUGGUUUUAUUUUUUAUUUUGGCAAAAAUGGGCUGGUUUUAUGUUAUUAUAGUUUUGAUUAAGCAGAGGUUAGGAUUGGUUUCUGGUGGAUACUAUCAUGGUUUAACUUCAAAUAUAACUUGGCCUAAUGAAACCUGUACUAAAUGGCUGCAACUGUUCGCCAUUAACAAUCAUACACUUUCCAAGUAUUUCUCUUUACAAUACCUAUAAUUAGGGAUGUUAACUUAGGGUAAAAUAACCCAGCCCAGCCCAACCCACAAAUAACCCAACCCAGUUUAUACCCAACCUGUAAAAACCCAGAAACAUCAAAGUUGAAAUCCAAACCCAAAAAAUAACCCAAUAGGGUAUAGGUUUACCCAUGGGUACCCAAAGUAUUAUCUUAUUUAUUCUAAAAAUAUCAUAUAAAAUAUUAAUAUCAUUAAUGUCAGUUUUAAUAUAUAAACAAGAUUUCACAAUUUUAUAAAAAAACUUGUUUUGGCGCAAAAACUCGUUUACGAUUUUGGCGGGAAAACCCGUUUUCGAUUUUGACGAGAAAAUCGGUUUUGCGGUUUCGGCAGGAAAAUUCGAUUUUCCGGUUUUGGCGGGAAAACUCAUUUUGUGAUUUUGGCGGGAAAACUCGAUUUUGCGAUUUUGUCGGAAAAACUUGCUUUACGUUUUUGGCGGAAAAACUCGUUUUUGCGAUUUCGGCGGGAAAACUCGUUUUUCGGUUUCGGCGGGAAAACUUGGUUUUUUGGUUUCGGCAGGAAAACUCGUUUUGCGGUUUUGGCAGGAAAUUUGGGUUUUGCGGUUUUGGCGGAAAAUUUGGGUUUUGCGGUUUUGGCGGAAAAACUUGUUUUUGCGGUUUUGGCAAGAAAACUCAGUUUUACGGUUUUGGCGGGAAAACUCGGUUUUGCGGUUUUCAGUCGGAAAACUCGAUUUUAAGGUUUUGGCGGAAAACUCGGUUUUGAGGUUUUGGCGGGAAAAUUCGGGUUUGCGGUUUUGGCGGGAAAACUCGAUUUUGCGGUUUUCAGUCGGAAAACUCGGUUUUGCGGUUUUCAGUCGGAAAACUCGAUUUUAAGGUUUUGGCGGAAAACUCGGUUUUGAGGUUUUGGCGGGAAAAUUCGGUUUUGCGGUUUUCCGAGAACACUCGGUUUUGCGGUUUUGACAGAAAAACUUGGUUUUAUGAUUUUGGCGGAAAAACUCGGUUUUGCGGUUUUGACAGGAAAACUCGAUUUUUCGGUUUCAGCGGGAAAACUCAUAUUUUGGUUUCUGUGAGAUAAUUUAUUUUUACGGUUUUGGCGGAAAAAACGUUUUUUGCAAAUUUUAUAUAAUUUAAUUAAAAUGGUGAAAAUAUAAUAAUAUAACUGAAAACCCAUGGGUACACCAUUACCCUUUUAUAUUUACCCAAUAUAAAUAUGGGUUUCAAAAUUAAUACCCAUAAUCGACCCAAUAAAUCUUAAACGGGUAAAAACCCAACCCAUUAUUAGUGGGUUUGGGUAAACCCAUGGAUAAUUACCCAUGUUAACAUCCCUACCUAUAAUGGUUAGCAUUGGUGAUUGAUCGACGAGGUCAUAAAUAACAAAAAUUAAGAAGAUAUAAAACUGUAUCUCUUUACAAGAGCAAAGAGUAACUUACCAAAGUUUUAUCAACAUACCUACCAACUGGAGUCAACUUUCAAGUUGUAAGACUUUUCGUUUGAUUCAACUUCAAACAAACACAUGUGACAUCAUUGGUGCUUUUCAGUUUUCAGUAUCUUGGAAAUUUUUGAUUUCACACACCCAUGCUUAUCUAUAUAGACAUUCACUAGAAAUCUGUUCAAACUCUUAUUAAGCGAGCUAUAAAUUCCCCAUUGACCUGAACUUUGAUGCAGUGUGAAACGUCUUCCGGAGAGAUAAAUUAUCGAUUUUGUAUAUUAUUUUUUUUAAAAGAUAUUACUAAUAUUUUCCUUGGAAUUUCUUUAUCUUCUAAUCAAGACAUAUUCAAAACCAAAUUAACUGCAUUUGAUUUAUUCCGAAACAGUAUGAAAGUUUCACUUCAGUUACUAAAAGCAUAUUAUCAUAAAUAAACAAGAAAUAUAGAGUUAUUUUGUUUCAUAAAAAAAUAGAGCAAAUAAAUUAAUCAUGUAUUGAAAAAUAAACUUACGUUUGUGCAAAAUAUUUCUGUUAGGAAUACUAUAUUAAUCACAUGCCAGAUGUUUGGACGUGAUCACAAUUAAUAUUUGAAUAAUAUAUCCAGUAAAAUUUAAGUUUGCUGGUUUUUAUUUUCAUAAUAUAAAAUCUUAAGUAGACUUAUUUGAUAUGGGUGUUUUUUUUAAAAAAAAAUUUGAUUAUGUCGUUUAGAGUCAUUUUAAUGCUUUUUUCAUGAAUGCUAGCUAAAAUGUUUUUUUUUUCAUUUUAAUGCUUUUUAAUGACUCUAAACGACAUUUUAAUGCUUAUUUUUUUCAUGAAUGCUAGCUAAAAUGCUGGGGGUUAAAAGUUUUUUUUGUUUCCGUUUCCAGUCAACUAAUAAAUUUAAAAUUGUUGUCAUACUAAAGAACAAUGAGAUUGCAUGUCCAAGAAACAAAAUAAAUAUGACAUUAAAUGUACAAUUAAAUAUCAAUUAAAUAUACCGUCAUGAAAAAGAAGAAUGCAUUUUCUAUUAAAAUUGCAAAAAGGAUAAUAAUUGAAUUAAAAAGAAUAGUGUAGUGGAACUAGGGUUUUGCCGUUAAGUGUUUCACGGUAUUACUCUUAAAAGCGCCACCCAAAACACACCCACACUCCCUCCUUUGCAUACUUUUUUGCUUCCCGGCUCUCUCUUUUUAUCACAUUGCCUCUGAUCCAAUUCAAUCGAGCUUUCUGAUCAUGGCGGAGACUGAGAGAUCAUUAGCCGAUGAUCGCGAAAUGAUCGGCCACGUCACUGGCUCCGAGACUAAGUCUCCGUGGAAAACAGCUCCGAUAGAGCCCGCCGACGCACCGGUAAUGGGUGCUCACUCGUGGCCUGCCCUCGCCGACGCGCAACAACCCCGUCCUAAGAAUCCUCCUCCUCCGGCGGCGGCGGCUAAAUCCAUUCCGACCUCAAUCCCAAAUCAUUCUCAGGUCAUUCAAUAAACCUAUCGUUAAUGUAAUUGGAUCAUAGCUUUGCGAAACUUGAUCGAACU
rnacentral:lncRNA from 1 species